rnacentral:rRNA from 1 species
GGUGAACGCUGGCGGCGUGCCUAAUACAUGCAAGUCGAGCGAACGGACGAGAAGCUUGCUUUUCUGAUGUUAGCGGCGGACGGGUGAGUAACACGUGGAUAACCUACCUAUAAGACUGGGAUAACUUCGGGAAACCGGAGCUAAUACCGGAUAAUAUUUUGAACCGCAUGGUUCAAAAGUGAAAGACGGUCUUGCUGUCAUUUAUAGAUGGAUCCGCGCUGCAUUAGCUAGUUGGUAAGGUAACGGCUUACCAAGGCAACGAUGCAUAGCCGACCUGAGAGGGUGAUCGGCCACACUGGAACUGAGACACUGUCCAGACUCCUACGGGAGGCAGCAGUAGGGAAUCUUCCGCAAUGGGCGAAAGCCUGACGGAGCAACGCCGCGUGAGUGAUGAAGGUCUUCGGAUCGUAAAACUCUGUUAUUAGGGAAGAACAUAUGUGUAAGUAACUGUGCACAUCUUGACGGUACCUAAUCAGAAAGCCACGGCUAACUACGUG